AAACCCUAGGUGUAGCCUUGGAAAUCGUUACUGGAAAUGUGGUCAGGAACGUCAGAGAGUCACCCAAAACGUCUACUGAGUGAGAAUCGAGCCACCGGAAAGCAGUAGAACUCUAGGUUAAACCACCAGAAACCCUAGAAGCCGAUAGGUCAUCGAGAAACCACCCAAAAUCAGCAGAAAAAACUCUCAGAAUGUUCGGGUGAAGAGAAUAUACUCAAAUAUCAUGACGAAAAACUCGGAAAAGCAUCCGAUCUAGGUGAGAACCAUCAUCGACCAUAAGGUCUCAGAAAAUCC
rnacentral:lncRNA from 1 species